AUGCCUUUCGCGAUUCAAUCGUUUGGUUUCGCCUUAGUGUGAUACAUAUCGACACGGUUGUUUCAUAAGGGCCAAUGUCGCAAACGUAAACAAUGACUUUUCCUGUAAAUUCCUCAACAACUAGGACCGCUCCCAGCUAACAACCACAUGGAACUGGUGGCGCUCCGUGUCUUCUAUCGAACGGAACUGGAAAAUACGGUCAGAAGUCUCUAAUCUUCUUGAAAUCAGCGAAAGAAGUCAAUGUUUACGUUUGCGACUUUCGCCCUUUUGAAACAACAAUGUCGAUAUCAUAAAUAAUUGCCUACAUUACGGCUCUUGCAAACGUUGUAAUGACGAAUCAACCAACCAAGCUUACAUGGUUCAACACACCAUUUUCUUCAUAACUUUUGAGCGCAAUGACCGAUCGUGAAUAAAUUCAAUAGUUAUCAACUACACACGGACUGACAGACAUUUGCUCAGUUCGACGAGCUGAGUCGAUUGUGAAAUGAUAGCCUUUCGGUACAACUUUGUUGUACGAGAAAAGCAAAGGAAAGAUUUUAUCGUUGAGAAGACCACAAUUUGCGCGACAUGUUAUUAGUUCACUGCACAACUGAUCAUUAUGGAACGAAAACCUGUGGGAACCGCACAGCAAGAAUAGAGCAGACCACAGAACACCGGUCUACUCAAAGGCCCAUACUGCUCUCCGUUCUAUUUCAUGGGUCAAAUGCUUUGAGAGUAGUAAUUGCUGUUGCUAAAUAGACGGCUAUGUAGAUGAUUUUAAGACGAAUUUCUCAUAGAUAAUAUUCCAAGUCAACAACCAUUAAUCUAGAGUAGUUUAUUAUUUAUGAUAGUUUGAUUCAUACAAAUGCUCAUGUAAAAUAAAAUACACUCUUUUUGAUAAUUUUCUUGAUUAUCCAGUCCUAGUACGUACCAGAUACAGACCGAAAAAAUUUAAAAAUAAUCUGAAAAAUAAAAA